UAGAGUUUGAUCAUGGCUCAGGACGAACGCUGGCGGCGUGCCUAAUGCAUGCAAGUCGAGCGGGCUACGAUCUUCGGAUUGUAGCUUAGCGGCGAACGGGUGAGUAACACGUAGGUAAUCUACCCUUCAGAGGAGGACAACCUCAGGAAACUGAGGCUAAACCUCCAUACGUUCACUGGUAGGGAUACUGGUGAAGAAAGAGUUACCCUAGUGGUAGCUGCUGAAGGAUGAGCCUGCGGCCCAUCAGGUAGUUGGUGAGGUAACGGCUCACCAAGCCGAAGACGGGUAACCGGUCUGAGAGGAUGUCCGGUCACACUGGGACUGAGACACGGCCCAGACUCCUACGGGAGGCAGCAGCAGGGAAUCUUGGGCAAUGGGCGAAAGCCUGACCCAGCGACGCCGCGUGGAGGAAGAAGUCCUUCGGGGCGUAAACUCCUGGACUGGGGGACGAGGAAGGACGGUACCCCAGUAGAAAGGGACGGCUAACUACGUGCCAGCCGCCGCGGUAAUACA
rnacentral:rRNA from 1 species